AAAUCUGCAAACUUACUCUCUAAAACUGUCCGAGUGUCUCCUGCCCCAGUCCCAUGAGGAACUUCUGCUUCGGGUCCUUCUUCGGCUGCGGCUUCUUGACCUUCUGUAAUCCAUUGGUGAACACUGGCGACGCUCCUUGGAUUUCAUCUGAUUUGGUGCUAGAAUUUAAAACAGAACUAGAAUAUUGCAAGAAAAUUGCAGUCUCCUGUACCUUCAGCACACAUAGAUUUUCUGGCUUAUUUAUAGUGUCCUCCACCUAUUACUUAUGAGUAUUCUGUGUGUAUUUCAUUUUAUGUGACAAGGGUGGCUUUUUAAAAUAUUUUGUAGAAGAAGUAAAUGAAGUUCUUAGGGUCACUUACUUUUGCGAUCACCUUGUGCAAACUGUAUUUCAAUUUGCCGGCCACAUACCCACUUUCUAUUCAGGUUAUAAAGAGCGUCUUCUGCAUCACGAACAUCUUCAAACUGUAUAUAAGCAAAUCCUCUUGGGCGUCUUGUGUAGAAGUCAAGUGGAACGUACACGUCUACUACGGGGCCAUACCGACCAAAUUCAUGACGCAAAUCCUCAGGCCUGAAGUAUUUCAGAUAAAGGCAAAAAUAUUAUUGUUUCCACAUUGUGAAACUUUUAAAAUAACAUACAGCUGCAAGAUUCAGGUUAUCUUAUGUUCAAAUAGUUAAUAUUCAAUGUUAUCUAAGAAAGCAACCUGUGAUUUCACAAAAGGAAGAGAAAAACGUGGGUCCCAAAAUGAAUUAUUUUGCUUAUGCUGGAAUUUAAAUUUGACUGUUCUUAUCUCACUCCCAUGUGUUCAAAAAGGUGAGUGGCCUCUGUCUUUAUUGAAAUACCCCCAAACAAAGUAAUUUACAACAGGAACAACAGCCGUCUGACCCUAACAUGGCCAUUGUCUUCUCCUGUAUGAAUUUUUAACAUUUUUGUCUGAUGAAGAUGUCAAUGGAGUUUUAGAAACUUGCAUUUGGACAUACCAAUAACGGUAUUACAGUUUUGUGGAUAUUGUUGUACUGUAUUUUGCUACAUGCUACACUGUAUUUGUUUCUUGUAUUUGUCUUUUAGUGUAUUUUGCUCCUUUUAUUAUAUAGGAAAUUAUGUGCAACUAAAGAGUAACAAUUUUUUAAAAAAAUCAAUAUACAUGUAUUUUAAAGUGUCAAAUAGGAACAAACCAUUAUAGCUUUGCUUUGUUCAUGUACAAACCUGGUCUUUCUGUGUUCUGUUAAAAACAAUAAAGGAAGGCAAUUUUUAAAAAAUAGUAAAAAUUGUUCUCCUUUUCUCUCUUUUGUGGUUUAUUCAUAGCUCUUUUGUCUACUUUUUUAGAAUUGGAGAUAUGAGGGAUAUCAAGAAACUAUAUCCUUUCAGCUUUAAAAUAUAUACCCACAUAUUUAAAACAUAGCUGAAAGAACAGAGUCAGACAUCCCACUAUCUCUUUCUCUGGCUCAGAAUGCCUCUGGGCUCCAAAAAAAACCUUUCAAUGGACCCCGUCAAUUCUUCUUGAGGAAGAAAGAACCCCCAGCAGCUACUGCCUGAGUACUGCUGUUUUCCAGUCAGUCAGAAAAAUUUUUAAAGAGUUUUGAAAAGGAGGGCUUCAGGAUAAGAAGAUGAACCCUGUGCAGGUAGAAAGGUUAUUGGGAUUAAAUGGGCAGGAGAGAAAUCAGAAAGAUGGAGAGGAGUAAAAAAAAGCCAAAGGUGGGGUAAGAUAAACCAGGUAGGAGUAGAAUAGAAAAGUUGGGAAAGGAAGGUGUAGCAAAGGCAGUAAGAAAAGAUGAGCUGAGAAAACCAGUAAAGAGACAUUGGCAGAUGUGAGAACCCAGGGAGCCACAUUACUAGAUGCAUGUGAGGGAUAUGUGGCAGGAUUACAGUAGAUAAUAAUGUACUAGUUAGAUGGCUGAGACAGAAGGGAAGGGUCUGGAAAAUGCAGAAUUGCAAAUAAUGAUUUGUGGCUGCAUUGUGAUAUUGUAUAUGAUAUGCAAACUUAAUUUUUAAAAAAAAAUAAUUUAAAAAGUGGCCCUAGACCGCGACAGCUGUUUAUGGUGAUCUUCUCCCUCCUUUUGUGUUUUGGAGGCAAUGGCUGAAUGCUCUUAGAUUGGGGAAAAACAACCACAGAAGGAUUAUCUGGAGACAAUUGACUAAAUUUCACCUCCUCAAAGAUGUCUGGCUGAACCAGAAAACAGAACAAUACCAUACACCCUUCUAUGAAAUGGGUAUUUUGUAGCAGCUUCAAAUUGCAGAAACACACAGAUACGCGGACAGCAGCUAUUUUCUUGAAUCAGAGGCCCUCAUUCCAUCCCACAAAAUCCGUUCCAAAACCAACUGAAAGCCUUGGUGCCUCAGGCCUACUCUCAGGCCCUCCCCAAAAGGCGGGAGGCGGGAAGGCAGGCCUCUCUCCAGGCCUCCCUACAGUGCUUGUAGGGAAGAAAGAGCUCUCACAGAGAAUGGGCUAAGUUUUCCUGCUUUCCAGUCAGAAAAAUAUAAUAGUUUUGAAAAGGAAGGCUGCUUUGCAACAAACCCGUGAAAGUGGGAAGAGUCGCAUGGGGGAACUUCGGGGUGGAGAGAAGAGGAACCCAGUGCAGUUACAAAAACCAUGGAAAACUAAGGCCCCUUCCACACAGCUGAAUAAAAUCCCAUUUUUUUGACUUGUACUGGAAUAUAUGGCAGUGUGGACUCAGGUUACCCAGUUCAAGACAUAUAUUGUGGAAUUUUCUGCCUUGAUAUUCUGGGUUAUAUGACUGUGUGGAAGGGCCCUCUAUGCUCUGCCAUGGCAUCAUUUCUGGCCCUUUUGAAUCCCUGGGUCAGGGAAACAAUAGCAAUAAGCACAACUGAUAGCCGUGAUGGCAUUGUUGCUUUCCCUUCUCCAUAAAACAACCGUUGACUGUCCACGGGUCAUAUCACAAUCCAUCAUUUGGCAGC
rnacentral:lncRNA from 11 species